GACGAACGCUGGCGGCGUGCCUAAUACAUGCAAGUCGAACGCAGUGGGGACGGGUGAGGAACACGUGGGUAACCGCCCAUCAGAGGGGAUAACACUUGGAUAAAGGUGCUAAACCCAUACUGAUGGAGGAACCCGCGGUGCAUAAGCUAGUUGGUGAGGUAACGGCUCACCAAGGCCACGAUGCAUAGCCGGCCUGAGAGGUGGAUCGGCCACACUGGGACUGAGACACGGCCCAGACUCCUACGGGAGGCAGCAGUGGGGAAUAUUCUGCAAUGGACGAAAGUCUGACCGAGCAACGCCGCGUGAGUGAAGAAGGUUUUCGGAUCGUAAAACUCUGUUGUUAGAGAAGCGGUAUCUACCCAGAAAGCAACGGCUAACUACGUGCCAGCAGCCGCGGUAAUAC
rnacentral:rRNA from 1 species